GCCUGAGUGGCUCAGUCGGUUAAGCAUCUGACUUCGGCUCAGGUCACAAUCUUGCAGUUUGUGGGUUCGAGCCCCAUGCUGGGCU
rnacentral:tRNA from 1 species